rnacentral:siRNA from 1 species
AGGCCUGGGCAAAAAAACCGCUA